rnacentral:rRNA from 1 species
CCUACGUGAGGCAGCAGUGGGGAAUAUUGCACAAUGGGGGAAACCCUGAUGCAGCGACGCCGCGUGAGUGAAGAAGUAAUUCGUUAUGUAAAGCUCUAUCAGCAGGGAAGAAAAUGACGGUACCUGAGUAAGAAGCCCCGGCUAACUACGUGCCAGCAGCCGAGGUAAUACGUAGGGGGCAAGCGUUAUCCGGAUUUACUGGGUGUAAAGGGAGCGUAGACGGCAGUGCAAGUCUGGAGUGAAAGGCGGGGGCUCAACCCCCGGACUGCUCUGGAAACUGUACGGCUGGAGUGCAGGAGAGGUAAGUGGAAUUCCUAGUGUAGCGGUGAAAUGCGUAGAUAUUAGGAGGAACACCAGUGGCGAAGGCGGCUUACUGGACUGGAACUGACGUUGAGGCUCGAAAGCGUGGGGAGCAAACAGGAUUAGAUACCCCUGUAGUC